CUUACAGGGAUGGCAGCAAGUUUUUGGUCGAAUGGUGCCCGGUUAGCAUCUUUGUGGCAAAAUUGUCAAGUCAUUAUAGGACACAUCACUGCAGCAUAGACAGCAGUUUUAAAAGGUGCACUGGAUAAUGUCUGCUUAGAACAAUGUUAGUUGGAGAAAUGUCAUUCAAAUAGUGAAUGGAAAUUAAAGAAAGGAGACAUCACUACAACUUGGUAGUUUCAAAAUCUGCUUUGGAUAACAUCUGCCUUAACUAAUAUUGUAGGAGAAAUUUCAGUCAAACGAUGAAUGUAAAUCAAAGGAAUACACGGUUUUCUUCAUGGAAUGGUAUAAGAAUGGAGUCAUCCAAAUGGCAUGAAAAGUUAGUUAAAAUCUUGUCAAGAAACUGAACAUACAAGGAUAUUAAUGAGGUCGGAAAUGCUCUAAACCCAGUUCUGCAUGGAUAGGCACAGGAAUGAAGUCUUUCGCAGAGCUGAAAAUAUUUCAAGAUACGAUGACUCAGUUACAGGAGGACAGAACGUGCACAAGAUUCCAGAAAAUAUGCCGGGAUAUUGCUGAAGCUGGAAAUGUGGCCCAUAAUGGAAUGACUUCCUAUGCUGCAAGACUGAAGUCUUCUACAGAGUUGGUGAUUCAUCAAGACCCAAAGAUUAAAUAACAGGGAGUUUCAUGAGGACAGAAUAUGCAUGAACAUCCAGGAAAAUGCUCCAUAAUUUAUAGGCAGUGACCAGAGUAAUUUUUAUAGGAGGAAGUCCUGUACAACUGUAAACUACUUGUUGCCUGGAAUAUGAAGAGAUGCAGAGGAAUAUAUAUAGGUGGUCUGAAGUCAAGAGGUAGAUACGUUAGCAGGUUGUGAAAAUUUAAUUGAACUGAUAUCUGGUGUUACAUAAUAUGCAAUGUAACUUACCCAUGCUAAGUAAUACCAGGUUUAUGGAAAGCUGAAGAUCGACUGCUAGUUGUUACAUAAUAGAUGUAUCACUAGCUAUCAGAUCAAUUCCUUAACUUUUUAUAACCUGCUCACGUACCUACCUCAGAGUUCAGACCAUUUAGGUAUUCAACUAAUUCUUCAAUUUACGUACUCCAUUAAGUAUUUUAUUUAGUUGUACAGACCUUUUCCUACAAUCACCCUGGUUGCCUAGUUAAAUUGUGAAGCACUUUUCUGGACUAUUAUGUUCUGCCCUUAGAAAUUCCCUAAAAUUUAAAAUCUUUUGGGCCAUGACAUAAUAUCAGCUAUGAGGAUAUUCUUUUGUCAUGAAAAGCAGAAUGUAGGAGAGAAAAUGGAAUAAGGGAAAUUAAACUCUUCACAU